rnacentral:rRNA from 1 species
AACGAACGCUGGCGGCAUGCCUAACGCAUGCAAGUCGAACGAGACCUUCGGGUCUAGUGGCGCACGGGUGCGUAACGCGUGGGAACCUGCCCUUAGGUUCGGAAUAACUCCCCGAAAGGGGUGCUAAUACCGGAUAAUUUCUUCUGACCAAAGAUUUAUCGCCUUUGGAUGGGCCCGCGUUGGAUUAGCUAGUUGGUAGUGUAAAAGCCUACCAAGGCGACGAUCCAUAGCUGGUCUGAGAGGAUGAGCAGCCACACUGGGCCUGAGACGCGGCCCAGACUCCUACGGGAGGGAGCAGUGGGGAAUAUUGGACAAUGGGCGAAGGCGUGAUAAAGCAAUGCCGUGUGAGUGAUGAAGGUCUUAGGGUUGUAAAGCUCUUUUAACAGGGAUGAUAAUGACAGUACCGGGAGAAUAAGCGACGGCUAACUCCGUG